AAAACGGCUCUUCUUAGGGCCACCAUCUUUUUUUCAGAAAAGAGUUU
rfam:Daphnia pulex DAPPTscaffold_768_Cont10952, whole genome shotgun sequence.